CAAACACAAUGAGUCUGCAGGCUGAAAUAGGUCAGGAGCUGCCAGUUUGCAAAUUCCAAAGAAAGGACGAGGAAGUCAGUUAGGGGCAAGCCCAGAAACCGAACGACACUGACAAGCACAGAGGCAAGGGAGAGCAGAUUCACAAAAAUAACUCAUCGCUGAGGUGAACUCCCGAUGCUGAAGUCCUGAGGUAACCUUGGAUUCCCGAUGACGUCCUGGCUCCAGUCUUCAUGAGACUUCUCGCUCUUGAAGCUCCUGUUCUUCCAGAGGCUUGGUGAUUUGGCCUCUCCUGGGUUCCCACGAGGCCUUUUGGGGCUGAGAUCCCUGUUUUCUUCAUUCCUUAUAACUCCUUCCCCUAAUAUUAUAUGUAACUUGAGCUGUUCCUCGGAACCAAAAGAGCCUGACGAAAACACUCUAAAUGGCCCCAGAUUGUUUUUUUUUUUUUUUCUUCUUUGGAAUUAUUGUACUCCUAUUUAUAGUUUUUCUGUUUCCUCCUUUGCUGCUAGGCCGUCAACUGUCACUUUUUAUUGCUGUAGUGUGCUUGCUUCUCCUGGCCAUUCUCUCUGUUAAUAAAGCUACUCAUAGACUUGGACACUAGAUCUGGAAGCCUGAUGGAAUUAAAAAGUUGAAAGUAAACAAGCAAUGAAACAAGGGUGAAUUUUAUAGGAUGUAAGUUAAAUCUUAAUACAGUUGUUAUACAAAUUUAAAAAGUAAUAAAGGAUUUUUAGUAUCACAAGAUCUUUUGUAUAUAGUAUUUUGAAAAUGCAAUUUGGCUAUUCAGAUGCAUUUCUUGUUUACUUUUUUACUUUUGGCUCUAGUCCAGUUGGUGCAUAUCUUACUAAAGUAAUCUCUGGUUCUGAGGAAUCAAAACAUACUGGAGCCAGCACAAGUAAUGGGAAGGAGAUUUAUUUUAAGUUAUCAUACAGAACCCAACUGAAGAAAGCAUGUGUGAUCAGGCAGCUUCUCUCCCUCUUUCUGUUCCUCCCUUUGCUUGGUUUUCCAAUCUCUUUGUCCUUGUUUCACAUCUGCUCCAUUUUCCUUUUGGCAGACUAGUUAUUCUGCAUCUCUGUAAGUUUUUUUGGUUACUUUACCCUCAUAACACUGGCUUGCAUAUGGUUUUGAGCUGUCAUGCUGCCAGUUUUGGCAACAAGUCUUCAUGACCUCGCAUCAUCAGUGUCAACACUAUCCACUUCAGCUUCUGUGUCUCUCAGAAUAUGAUUUACUCAGUUUGGGCCAAGUGACUGCCCCUAGUCAAAUUAGCUGGUCAGAGAGCAGAGCACAGCCCCUAUUAUUUAAGGAAUGUCCUUCCAGUCUGCAGGCAGAUAGGCUCUCCAAGGAGAUUUUGGCAGGGGUGAAAUGACUGGCAUUUUGACCUGAGCGAAAUUUCUGAAUUUCCGAGCUGUGAUAGGAAGGAGGAGGAAGACACCAGUCCCCACUUCUACCUCACCCUUGCACUUUUAAGAAGACUUCUUGGAAGUCCCACAGAACACUUGUUAGGAUUUAGUUAAUAAACCAUGACCAAACUGUGGCAUGUGGUCCUUUCUUUCAGGUAGUAAUGUGUCUGGUUAAAAAUGGAAGUUCUGGUGUACGGUAUGGAAGAUUUGGAAAAUUGCAAUUUUGCAAACAUCAUGGUAAAGAUUGAUUUGGACAAGAAUCAUCAGAGAAUGCUAAAUCUAGGCAAGAAAGUUUGUUGAAGAGCAGAAUAUUUCUGUGGUCUUAAAGUAUUUUUCCACUAAUCACAAAUUGGUAACAAGAAGGAAAAUAGUAACUAUACAGUGGGAAAACCAGACAAUAUCCUGACCAGAUGAUCAAGAUUGACAUAACCAAUGAAGAGCAAGUGGACAUCAUGUGGUCUCCAGAUGUGACCGUCAGAAGGACACAACAUUGCUUACGUGGUAUUCCCACUGGAAAUGCAUAACUCAAAUCAAAUCUUGAGAAAACAUCAGACAAACAAAAAUUAAGAAACAAGCUAUGAAAUAACUGACCCGUACUUUUCAAACAUGUCAGUGUCAUGAAAGAUAAUGAAAAGCUGAUGAACUGUUUCAGAUUAAAGGAGACUAAAGAGACACAACAAUUAAACACAAUAUGUGACCCUGGACAAGAUCCUGGACUGGAGGAAAACAAAAUGCCAUAAAGGACAUUAUUGAGACACUUGACUAAAUUGGUAAAGAAAUUUCAGAGAGAGAAUGGACAGGACCUGACUAUUGACUGUUUUCUUCUUUCUAUCCCCAAAACCACUGUCUUAGUCUUUUGCAUUUCUCUCCUUAGUGUAUUUCUAGAGCUUGCCAAGUGAUAGUGCGAAGUCCAUUGUCUUUCUCUUCCAGUCUGUCCUCCAUAUGAUCACUACUGUGACUUUUUGAUCUGAUCAUGCCCUACUCCUAAUUAGAAAACAUUUUUGGCUUGCUACUGCUCAAUCCUAGUCCGGCAAACCAGAAGUAGCUUCAGAAUUCCUUUUAUUUGUCUGUCUGUCUGUGUGUUUGUUUGUUUGUUUGUUUUGAGACAGGGUCUUGCUCUGUUGCCCAGCCUAGAAUGCAGUGGUGUGAUCAUGACUCACUGCAGCCUAAACUUCCUGGGCUCAAACAAUCCUCCCACCUUAGCCUCCCAAGUAGCUGGGCUCAUAGGCAUGCACCACCGUGCCCAGCUAAUUAAAAAAAAAUUGUAGAGAUAGGGGUCUCACUGUGUUGCCCAGGCUGGUCUUGAACUCCUGGGCUCAAGAGAUCCUCCCACCUCAGCCUCCCAGGGUGCUGGGAUUACAGGCAUGAGCCACCACACUGAGUCUCAGAGUUCUUUAGUGGCCAUUUCCCUUCUGCAUUCACAUCCCAAAUUGCUCUAGUUAUUGAUCGGUCCCUCCACCCUCAGUAGUUGUGACAUAACACCCAGUGUGACAUCACAAGGACAGGGAUGAAUGAAAGAUGAAGGAUGGAAUGAAAUAAGCCAGGAAGAUAGGUAGUACUUUUAAAGCUUUGUACCUAGUUUGAGAUAUAGGCUGUUCUAUCAAGUGAAAUGACCCCGUUAAUAUAUGUAUAUAUAUUUUUUGAUACGGAGUCUCACUCUGUAGCCCAGGCUGGAAUGCAGUGGUGUGAUCUCGGCUCACUGCAACCUCUGCCUCCUGGGUUCAAGCAAUUCUCCUGCCUCAACCCCCUGAGUAGCUGGGAUGACAGGUGCGUGCCACCAUGCCCAGGUAAUUUUUGCAUUUUUUGUAGAGACGGGGUUUCACCAUGUUGGUCAGGCUGGUCUUGAACUACUGACCUUGUGAUUCACCCACCUCGGCCUCCCAAAGUGCUGGGACUACAGGCAUGAGCCACCGUGCCCGGCUCAUUUUUUUUAAUAAUUUAUUUUUUAGAGAAAUAAGUGUCCACUGUUUGUGCCAAAUUAAAGUAAAAGGCAAACGAAAAUGGCUUUCUUGGCUGACUUCCAUCCUGAGAUGUCCUGUGAAGCUAUUAGAUGCAGGUAGCUAAGGAUCUCAUUAUCUGGGUCAGGAUUAUUCUAUCAACAGCCCUUUUUCCCUGUCACAGCUGGAGCUGAGAACCAUGUGUCAUAAGACUCCCUCUGCCCCAAAGUGUAGAACCCUUGCUGAAUGGAAAAUAAAUCACUGUUGUUGAAUCAAAUGACCUAUUGGGGUUCCCAGGAGAAUUUGCCUUUAUAUUUUAGUUAUGUGGUGAAAACUCAUGAUUUUUAUUACCCAUGUGGCUUUUCUCCCAUUUCCCAUCUGCUUACUCCCCAUAAUUUUGCCAAAAUGUGAUUCCAUCAUUCUCUUCAAUAAACAAAUAGUGUUUCCUUACUUGCUCUCAGGAAUAAAGCCUUACAGGAAUUGCAUUUAGUGAUGAAUUGAUACAAUUCAUUUACUCUGGACUUAUCAAAUAAGAUUACCAGCAAACAAAAACUUAUCUAGAAUUCAAGGCAGAAGAUUCAGCUAUUAUAUGUUAAUAUCUAUUCCAUAAAUUCAUAAAGUCAUGGCUACAUUAAUAUAAUGAACAAUGAAAGAAGAUUGUGAGUAUAAUUUGGGAAUAUAAUGGUGAAUUGCCAGAGUAAAGGUUAUUCAUUCUGCACCAUGUAUUCUGCAAAGUCAAGUGGAAUUAGAAUCUGUGACCAAAUAACCAUACUCAUUUCUAUGUAGGAGCAAUGGUCAAUUUAGCUCCUUAUAGCUUUGUGUCUCGCAGGGAUGUUGCUAUGUCAAUUUAUACCUAAUCCAUAUUUUUGCUAUGUUUCUAUUUCUACUUUACUCUGUGAAUCACAAAAGCCACUUACCUUAUAUUUUUGGAAUAAGUGAAGUAAUGUAUUAUUUGUAAUAGCAAGCAUUUCUAAGCUACACAUCUAUUAAUAUUAUACUUAGACUCUAAAGUUAUCCAAGUUUUACAGUUAGAUUCCAGUAAAUUGAUGAAUAAAAUCUAAGUUACCCCCUUACCUUCUCAGAGAAUGCUCCUGGUUCAUAAAUAUCUAUGUAAGUUUCCAGAGAAUUGUCAAAAUUGUUAUGUGUUAGACACUCCCAAAUAAAAUAAAUUAGUAAUUGCUCUUUUAA